GUUGUGCCGUCCAAACCACCAACUGGACCCGUCGGAUGGGCAACACUCAAACCCAAACCCUCGCCUAGGACGUUCUCGAAAGCUUCGGCAGCCAUGGACGGAUUCCUCCCAGGUCUGCGGAAGGCUCGGGUUGUUCCAGCCGGCUGGCGGUGGAAGAUGCCGGGAUGGAGUUCCUGCUUGAUGCCAUCGACCAGUUCCCGCUCUCGGUACGAGUUCGCGGACAGCUUGGAACAUCCAGAUCCGGUUCCUCUGGCGGUGCUGCCGCGGCGUGAUGCCUCCCCUGUUACCCCGGCGGAUUCAAUGCUGGCUCCGGGUGCGGGCGACAUGAAGGGGCUGAUAUCCCACGGAGGCCGCAUGGCCAUGGCGACGGCUGCCUUUUCCGACGAAGCGCCGGGUUGGACAUAGAGAUUACGCGUCGGGAGUGCACCACAAGACAGAACGCCAGGUCCAUCCAAGAUGAGUGCGUUGGAGCAGUCAAUUCACAAGUACGCAGAGGAACCAAUGGAAAGUGUGCUGGAAAUUGGUUUCGGGAUAAGGUACGGAAACAGCAGGGUUAAAAACUUGAUGUGCACAAACGGGAGCAGCCGAAUGCAAUACCGUUUCUUUGGUGAUGUGAUCACAAUCGACACAACCUACAGGACUGUGCGACAUUCUGUUUGGGCUUUUCGUAGGGGUUAAGAACCAUUUUGAAAGCAUCAUCCUGGCUGGCGUUGUAAUGCGAGAUGAGCAGGUGGAGAGCUUCGGCUGGUUUUUUUUUUCUGAAUUUAUACGUAAGAUGGGUGGACCGACACCUAAGACAAUCCUGACAGACCAGAACAGACCUAUGGAGGUGGUGAUCAGCAAGGUUUACCCAGACAGUGUACACUGUUGGUGCAAGUGGCACAUUCUAAAGAACGCUAAGGAGAGCCUAGGCCCGCUGUACAUAACAUGAGUUAGUUCCAAGCAGAGUUCUAUAAAGUUGUCACCCACAUGCUGACUACAGAUGAAUUCGAGACAGCCUGGUGUAUGCUGCUCGAUCUGAACUGGCAGCAGAGGAAUGGAGGAUGUUGGGCUUGAGUUCCUGCUUGAUGCGGUGGACGGGAUGGUUUCCGAAGAUCUGCAAGUUUUUGGGAUUUGUUUUUUGAGCUGGCAGAUCGCUAGAAGAAAUGCUUAGUCUGGGCCUCACCGUCGGCCAUAUCCGUCCAUGACUUUGUCACCUUUCAAGUCUACGAAAUCAGAAUGAAGUGGGCAAAACCAGACUUGAAAGGUGUUCUCUGCGCCAAGAUGACAAACACACAAUGCAGCGAGAGCGCGGAUCGCAUGUUGAAGACAUCUCCUGCUAGCCCGAUGCACAUUUUCGUUAGGCAGUACAUGAGGUUGCAGAUUGACUAUGAGCGUGAGGAAAGCUAUAAGGAGAAGAGGACCAUGAUUGGUGGAGCUGUUAGGAGAACUAAUCUGGUAACAAAACAGCAUGCAAGCAAAAUUUGCACUAGGACUAUGUUUGAGGAGUUCAGUCGUCUACUAAUUGAAGGAAUGGCUACAAUGUCACAGAGGUAGAGAAGAUGAGGAGGUAUGUGACAACAAACAAUAAUGCAGCAAAAAGAGAGAAAUGGAGCAGAGUUGUGUACUAGGUGACCGUAAGUGAGGACCAGUCAGAGUUUACGUGCGAGUGUGGACAAUUCGAGCACACUGUGAUGAUAUGCUGCCAUGUGCUAAAGGUAAAUUCCCAAUUCUUCGUCAUAUGGUGUCCAAAGCUGAAUUUGUUGUUAAGAGAUUUAGCUGUUAGUUUGAAAUUGAGGUCGGAGAAGACACAGUUUGAACACCUUGUUCUCCUGGCAUGGAUCGUGGAUCCUUUUUUAGUGAGUAGCGCACCAUUAGCAGAGAAGAGGAAUGGUUUGGGUUUCGAGGACCGCUUGGCAAACUUGCCUGCUGGGAGAUUGCCUGGAAAUGGAGAGGUUGCCUUUGUUGGUGGCAACGAUGUUGACCAUAGGGACUAGCACCUCCGGGCAAGCAGAGAGGGGCCAGGGAGGCCGACGAACAGCAAGGGAAAACGCCUUACGAGGGUCUGAGAUAGAGGACUAGGUUCUGUAGAAGGCCACAAGUGAACCACUUGCCCGGACAGGAGGGAUGCCCCCCCAAGAAACCACGAACGCCUUGUUGGAAAUUGAGUUGUGAUAUUUAAGUUUGUGUUGUGUGUUCUUGUUCGGCUUGGAUUUUCUAGUGUGUUUCAGUGAGCAUUGCUCCAUGCUUGUUCCUCAAUUUUUGAGGUAUGUAAAAUCCUGUAUUAUUGAGAAACAAUAAUGGUUAUGUUCCGGCCAUACAAUGU